GGGUGAGUAACGCGUGGAUAACCUGCCUUGUACAGGGGGAUAACACCUGGAAACAGGUGCUAAGACCGCAUAAGCGCACAGUCUCGCAUGGGACAGUGUGAAAAACUCCGGUGGUACAAGAUGGAUCCGCGUCUGAUUAGCCAGUUGGCGGGGUAACGGCCCACCAAAGCGACGAUCAGUAGCCGGCCUGAGAGGGUGAACGGCCACAUUGGGACUGAGACACGGCCCAAACUCCUACGGGAGGCAGCAGUGGGGAAUAUUGCACAAUGGGGGAAACCCUGAUGCAGCAACGCCGCGUGAGUGAAGAAGUAAUUCGUUAUGUAAAGCUCUAUCAGCAGGGAAGAAAAUGACGGUACCUGAGUAAGCAGCCCCGGCUAACUACGUGCCAGCAGCCGCGGUAAUACGUAGGGGGCAAGCGUUAUCCGGAUUUACUGGGUGUAAAGGGAGCGUAGACGGUAAAGCAAGUCUGAAGUGAAAUGCCAGUGCUCAACACUGGAACUGCUUUGGAAACUGUUUGGCUGGAGUGCAGGAGAGGUAAGUGGAAUUCCUAGUGUAGCGGUGAAAUGCGUAGAUAUUAGGAGGAACACCAGUGGCGAAGGCGGCUUACUGGACUGUAACUGACGUUGAGGCUCGAAAGCGUGGGGAGCAAACAGGAUUAGAUACCCUGGUAGUCCACGCGGUAAACGAU
rnacentral:rRNA from 1 species